GUCUGGCUGGCUCAGUCGGUAGAGCCUAUGACUCUUGAUCUCAGGGUCAUGGGUUCGAGCCCCAUGUGGGGUG
rfam:Ailuropoda melanoleuca scaffold1423_10, whole genome shotgun sequence.